rnacentral:pre_miRNA from 1 species
AUUUACUUGUUAGUGUUGUCCUGUCGAACACGGACACCAACAUGUGUCAGACACCAGACACGAACAAAAGAAUGGAGUGUACGUGAUUGAUAGGUUCUCACUUCUGUAGAAUAUCUAUUUUUACUUUCAUGCAACGUGGAUA